rnacentral:rRNA from 1 species
GACGAACGCUGGCGGCGUGCUUAACACAUGCAAGUCGAACGGAAAGGCCCUGCUUUUGUGGGGUGCUCGAGUGGCGAACGGGUGAGUAACUCGUGAGUAACCUGCCCUUGACUUUGGGAUAACUUCAGGAAACUGGGGCUAAUACCGGAUAGGAGCUCCUGCUGCAUGGUGGGGGUUGGAAAGUUUCGGCGGUUGGGGAUGGACUCGCGGCUUAUCAGCUUGUUGGUGGGGUAGUGGCUUACCAAGGCUUUGACGGGUAGCCGGCCUGAGAGGGUGACCGGCCACAUUGGGACUGAGAUACGGCCCAGACUCCUACGGGAGGCAGCAGUGGGGAAUAUUGCACAAUGGGCGGAAGCCUGAUGCAGCAACGCCGCGUGCGGGAUGACGGCCUUCGGGUUGUAAACCGCUUUCGCCUGUGACGAAGCGUGAGUGACGGUAGUGGGUAAAGAAGCACCGGCUAACUACGUG